rnacentral:rRNA from 1 species
UGGGGAAUAUUGGACAAUGGGGGGAACCCUGAUCCAGCCAUGCCGCGUGUGUGAAGAAGGCCUUUUGGUUGUAAAGCACUUUAAGCGAGGAGGAGGCUACCGAGAUUAAUACUCUUGGAUAGUGGACGUUACUCGCAGAAUAAGCACCGGCUAACUCUGUGCCAGCAGCCGCGGUAAUACAGAGGGUGCAAGCGUUAAUCGGAUUUACUGGGCGUAAAGCGCGCGUAGGUGGCCAAUUAAGUCAAAUGUGAAAUCCCCGAGCUUAACUUGGGAAUUGCAUUCGAUACUGGUUGGCUAGAGUAUGGGAGAGGAUGGUAGAAUUCCAGGUGUAGCAGUGAAAUGCGUAGAGAUCUGGAGGAAUACCGAUGGCGAAGGCAGCCAUCUGGCCUAAUACUGACACUGAGGUGCGAAAGCAUGGGGAGCAAACAGG